GUAGCCAAUCAGAAACAAGAGAGUCAGUUUUGUCUAGUGGUUAAGAUACCAGGCUAGAAACCAAAGGAUUGAAGUUUUAGUCCUGUUUUAGGCAUGAAAGCUAGUUACGUAACUUUGAGGCAGUCAUUGUCUCUUAAUCCACAAUGUCUCUUAGUCCACAAUGUCAGGAUCGAGUGGCAAAAUUGUCAAUCAAUUCUUGUCACAAUCAAUGGAUCAACAUUUGAUGGAUUCAAACAAAGACAGAACCUGCACACAUGGGAAAAUGCUAGGAAGAAGAAAAUCCAAUCAAAAGUCACUCAAGGCAAUAAUAUAGCAUAUCUUGAUUGAAGAAGUUGAUGCUAAGGAUAUCUAAGAUGUCUCUGAAUGUACACAUCUUUGUCUCAAUACUCUUUCUGCCAUAUGAAAAAAAGAAAAAAAGAUACACAACAUAUGAAGAGCAAUGCUGGAGCAGCUUUCUAAAAUCAGGUCCACACAACUAGAUUAAUAUUUGUGUUCCCAAAGAACUGAUACUAUGGGCUAAUUGUUUUUAAGACACCUCUAUCAAUACCAUUUCCUAUCCCCAAUUCUUCAAAAGGAGCUGGAAAGAACCAUCAGCUUAUCUUCAUUGCUGCUUGAAUUCAAAAUGCUGAGAACAGCACAAGUCAAUCAAUUCUUCGUUCCAUUCUAAGAAGAAUGUUAAAGUUGGUUCACAGACUGAUAAAGAUGCAAUGGACGAUUAAAUAAACAAGUAGUAGCAGGUUUCCUCAUUA